CCACGACCAGCCCGCCGCCGCCGCCGCCGCCCACCACCUCGACGCCGCCGCGGCCGCCGCCUACCCCGCCUACCCGGCCGCCUCCAUGGCGGGGCUGGAGGCGCAGGUGCAGGAGUCGUCCAAGGACCUGUACUGGUUCUGAGGCUAGGCGCGCCGCUGGGCUCCAGCCGGCGCACCCACAGCCCCAGGACCUCGCCUGCGCGUGCUCGCAUCUGCUCCGCUCCUGAGGACGGCACCACCACAGCCGAAACCGCCACACCGCAGCAGCCUCCCACAGCCGACUCCGCGGGCCUGAGUGUCCAUCCAGUAGUCGGCGCUCGGCACGCGGCGUUCCUGGACACCAAGUGUGAAUCUCUUCCAGAUCUCGAGCACUGAACGCAGCUAACGGUCCUUUUGUUUAGCCGUACAUAUGUGACAUACCAAUUACACAGUGGACUUCAGACUUCUCAAAAAUCAUCUGCAAUUGCAUACUUCUGAAAGCUUAGAUUUCUGAUAUUUAAUGGUAUUUCAGUCAAAGGUGGGAGCUGUGGUGUCGAAGAAACUACAGAAUGACAAAAGAAAGUUCAUUGCGGUAUUGGUGACUACAGGCCAGGAGAAUUUUUUCUUGAGAUACAGGACUUGUACAAGCGAGAAGCACAGUGCAGAAUUAGCGCCUGUAUAGAAAUGAAGUAAAUGGCUCUCACGAAUUUCAGUUCGAAUUGAAAUGUUUGUUGCAGCCGUGUAAGCAAUGAAAAAUGUAGGACGUAAUGUCUGUGGUGACAGUGCUGUAGCCUGAAGUCUGAAUAUAAUGAAGAGUAUAUGCAGGAAAACGUGACGCAAUAUUCUUGUGGGAAGGCUAUUGUGGAAUAAGUCAAACUAAUCUGAUUUCAGAUGUCGUGUAUCUUUGUACCAUUUGAGUCAUGGUGAGGUUCCGCAGAAACCUUCCGUUACAUAUAGCAAAAGUUAGGUAUUUAAAAUAUUAGGCGUGCAAAUAUAGAAUGUUCUGGCGUGAUAAUUUGCAUUGAAGACUAUUUGUACGUUUUCAGAUAGCGGCUAACCACGUUAUCAAGAAUUAUUGUGACGAGGUGGGUCAGUCUUUGAUUGGCGGGUGUGCCUGCACAGGCUGUUCGUCACACAGAUGCAGCAAGAGUUUUGUAAAUAGUUUUUCUCAAGACAGAUGUAACUAACAAGGAGGCAUUUUGAUCUCGCAGGUGCUUGCGAGUUGGAGCUGUGUGUGUGUGUGUGUGUGUGUGUGUGUGUGUGUGUGUGUGUGUAUGUGUGUGUGUGUGUGUUGAGACGCCACGAAGCUCUGACGUACUAAAUGUGCGGCUGCUGUUGCCCGCAAGAACUGCUUACGAUUUUCUUGUGUAAAUAGUAUAAUAUUCGCUAGUGGAGAUCCACGUGACCCAAAUGAGAGUAGCAGUUAUGUCUGCAGCUGAUCGGCAGCACAGAAAAAGACAUUGGAGUUUCAUACAUAGCCGUUGUGAGUAGACUGUUUUGUAGUAUAUCGUUCACCGUGUGCCACCAUAUGGUUCUGCGCCUUCCCCAUGCCCUGUUGUAUUAAAUAGAGCAAACAAAUAUGUAUUCCUCGUAAUUUAAGGCUUCGCCGGGAGACCGUACGAGAAGCCAACCUUUACGAUUAAGUGGAUAAGUGUUGCCACUAUUUCCAUGUUAGGAAUAUUAUAUUAAUGAUUAUUUCACUGUAAACAGUAAGGCUACUAACAAAUAUGUGCAAUGAUACUCUUAAGAACGUUUUGUGCUGCGACUUUUCAUAAUUUAUUUAUCGAUUCAAAGUUUGUUGUAUUUUUCGUGCUGUGCGACAUAGUAGAAAUUAUUUUUAUCGUUUACUGUCUUUGUAAUAAUAGAAAUAAUAAUUUACUUCGUUUGUUCAGCGAAAGCUGCUUCACGCCACUGUUACAGUGGCAACAAACAUUACGUAAGACGAAUGUGUUUCAAGGAACUACAAGAAAACUCUGGUAUCUUUGAAAACAUUUUAGUUUGCUUCAGUGUUAGAGCUGAUUUUGAAAGAUGGCAAAAUUUUCAACUGGUAGUAAGUAAGUUAUUACCGUUUAUAGUGACAUAAGCACUAAUAUGACUGACGCAGAUCACUUGCCUUGCUCUCCAACAUAAGUAUAUGUACAGUACGGCAAGGCAGUUAGCGAGGUGCUGUUUCAGCGAUGGCAAUGAAAUAUGAACCAUUCUAGCAGCUUCUUACCAGCUGUUCCAAAAUAAUAUUCUAGGCUACAUACGGAUGACUGUAUAGUAACGGAAAAUGUUUGGCAUAGAUUAAGCGUCCUCUAAUGAUGAUACUGUACGAUGUUUGUCUCAGUAGUAGUCUAUACUGCCUGCAGAAUUAUACUGCAUUGUAUUUAAACAGAGAUUCGCUUGGAGUGCAUUGUGUUAUAGAUGGGAUUUCAUUCUCAUUGUAGAUGCUCUGCAGUGUUGGAGGCCUUUAAUUUUGAAGAACUGGAUUCCAAUCCUGAAAUUGCACCUAAGGACUGUUGCAGAUAACUGAAAAACUAAAUUUAUGUUCUCAUUAGACACAUUAUAAAGCAAUCACUCUACUGAAAUUUUCGUCGUUAAAGAUGGUGUGUUAAGUUUACGGAAGCUGGGAAGCUCACUGAAACAGCACAUCAAACUGCCCGCCAUUUUAACAGCGUGCUUUCGAUUUGCACUCAGUUUUCUCUUAAUUAGGCGGAAUUAUCGACUCAUUAUGCUCUGUAUGUGUAUAUUUCUUUAUAAUAUAUGUAUCAUGCAGCGUUCGUAUGACGUAUCACUCAUAGACACCGAUGUGCAAGUAAAUGUAUGAUAGUUAUAAACGUGAUUUUUGAAUGUGCCAUUUGUUUCUUGUCAUUUACGUUGCAAGUAAACAAUUUAUUGAAACUAA